rnacentral:rRNA from 1 species
UACGUAGGGCGCAAGCGUUGUCCGGAAUUAUUGGGCGUAAAGAGCUCGUAGGCGGUUUGUCGCGUCUGCUGUGAAAACCUAAGGCUCAACCUUGGGCUUGCAGCCGAUACGGGCAGACUAGAAUUCGGUAGGGGAGACUGGAAUUCCUGGUGUAGCGGUGAAAUGCGCAGAUAUCAGGAGGAACACCGGUGGCGAAGGCGGAUCUCUGGGCCGAUACUGACGCUGAGGAGCGAAAGCGUGGGGAGCGAACAGG